rfam:Stegodyphus mimosarum contig27219, whole genome shotgun sequence.
GCCUUCAUGGUGUAGUGGUCAGCACCCUCGACGCGUAACCGAGAGGUCCGUGGUUCGAUUCUCGGUGAAAGGCG